rnacentral:sRNA from 1 species
GAGUCCAGCCUCUUACUGAGAACAGUCCCUCCCUUGUGCGGGUCGCACGGCUAGCCGCAGGUUCGGCCACGUCAAAUCCAUUUUCUAAAAAAGCAGAGAGCAGAGCUCUCUCUUCGCCGCCGACGCAGAAAGAAGGAGCUGGGGAGGAAAAAGCUGCUGCUUUUUGCGCUGGAGAUUCGUGGGCAAGGCUUCUCAUUUUCCCAGGCUGCUUCCCCUCCCGGGUGAGGAGCGCCCUGAGACUAAGGAAAGAGCCUGGAAAAUGGAGCAGACCUGGACGAGAGAUUAUUUUGCCGAGGAUGAUGGGGAGAUGGUACCCAGAACGAGUCACACAGCAGAAAUGAAUUUCCAUCUUUUCUGAACAUAAAAAAAAAAAGAAUUCUAAGAAGUUGACUGAAGCAUCUGGGUGCUUUUUCUUGGGCUCCUUCUGCUUUUCCUAGUGGCACUAAAGAUCGAGGCCCUCCAGUGCAGUCACAGAUCUGGAGAAGUGGUGAAAAGGUCCCUUUUGUGCAGACGUAUUCCUUGAGAGCAUUUGAGAAACCCCCUCAGGUACAGUCCCAGGCUCUUCGAGACUUUGA